AAGGAUAGAGAGAAAGAGGGUUGGAGAAGGUAAUAUUCUCGAUCAUGAAUCAAGGGGAAAUCAGCUAGAAGAAGAUGAUCUAUUUAUAACCUGAUUUGGAAGAAAAGAUUGCUGAUGGUAGGAAGGGAAAAAAAACUGUGUUAGUAGUUGUAGUGUUCCAGCUGAUUGAAGAGAAGUUGAGGGCUCAAGGGGUGCUUUGGGUGAGUCAAGCAUCAAGGUAGUGCAGUAGCUAUUAAGAGUGUUCAAAUAAUAUUCAGAGCAUGUUCUACUUCUUCAGAUUGCUCAAUGGCAUAGUAGAGGAUUCACAGUAUUUCCAGUUCACUGGCACUUGUGCUAAGGAAGUUGCCCGCUUGCACAUGUUCAACUGGUUCAAGAAUAUUCACUGGCACAUGCUUACAAGGUUGAUCCUCUUGUUCCCGAGUAUAUAUGUUUAAGACAAUGUACAACUUGUUCAGGUUUACAAGUUGUGCUCACGCUGAAGUUCCUUAUUUCAGACUCUAUGCAAUAGUGUCAUACUGAUUGAGACAAUGGAUUUACAAAUUGUAUUCAAUUUGAGUUCAACUUGUUCAGAUAAUGGCUUGCUACCAACAAUGGUUUGCAGUUCUAUAAUAUUGAUUGUACAUAUCUAACACAAUAUUUAAAGCAGAGAUCGUUCUUUACUUUAUAA